GGGUAGGAUUAGGGUCUGUGUUUUACCUAGGGUAGGGUCUGUGUUUUACCUAGGGUAGGGUUAGGGUCUGUGUUUUACGUAGGGUAGGGUAGGGUCUGUGUGUUACGUAGGGUCUGUGUUUAACGUAGGGUAGGGUUAGGGUCUGUGUUUUACCUAGGGUAGGGUCUGUGUUUUACCUAGGGUAGGGUUAGGGUCUGUGUUUCACGUAGGGUAGGGUAGGGUCUGUGAUUUACGUAGGGUCUGUGUUUUACGUAGGGUAGGGUCUGUGUGUUACAUAGGGUCUGUGUUUAACGUAGGGUAGGGUUAGGAUCUGUGUUUUACGUAGGGUAGGGUUAGGGUCUGUGUUUUACGUAGGGUAGGGUUAGGGUCUGUGUUUUACGUAGGGUAGGGUUAGGGUCUGUGUUUUACGUAGGGUAGGGUUAGGGUCUGUGUUUUACGUAGGGUAGGUUUAGGGUCUGUGUUUUACGUAGGGUAGGGUUAGGGUCUGUGUUUUACGUAGGGUAGGGUUAGGGUCUGUGUUUUACGUAGGGUAGGGUUAGGGUCUGUGUUUUACGUAGGGUAGGGUUAAGGUCUGUGUUUUACGUAGGGUAGGGUUAAGGUCUGUGUUUUACCUAGGGUAGGGUUAGGGUCUGUGUUUUACCUAGGGUAGGGUUAGGGUCUGUGUUUUACCUAGGGUAGGGUUAGGGUCUGUGUUUUACCUAGGGUAGGGUUAGGGUCUGUGUUUUACCUAGGGUAGGGUUAGGGUCUGUGUUUUACCUAGGGUAGGGUUAGGGUCUGUGUUUUACCGAGGGUAGGGUUAGGGUCUGUGUUUUACCGAGGGUAGGGUUAGGGUCUGUGUUUUACCGAGGGUAGGGUCUGUGUAUUACG